AGCAGAGCCUGAUUUGGAGCUCCAUCUCAGGACCCAGGAGAUCAUGACCUGAGCUAAAACCGAGUUGGUUGCUUAACGGACUGAGCUAACCAGGCACCCCCAACCUUUGUUAUUUUAAACAGCUUUGUUGAGGUGCUGUUUUUCAACCCUAAAUUUUUGAUCAAGAAUGAAACUAUUUAAAAAUUAGGAUGUCAACAGAUCACGAAGAGCCCUGUGGUCCCAAUCACAGGUCAUUUUGCCUGAAUGGAGGGAUUUGUUAAGUGAUACCUACUAUUCCCAGCCCAUUUAGUAGAGAAGGGGAGAGAAAACCUAAGGAAAUAGAAAAAUAAGAGGAAAAUAAGAAGUGAC
rnacentral:lncRNA from 12 species